UGGGGUUUCGAUCAGUCCUUUUGUAAUUUAGGGUUUUGAUCAUUCCUUUUGCAAAUUAAGGGGUUUUGUUGAUGUUUUACAUUUCAUUCUACUAUUCAGUGCAGAUCGUAGCUAUAAAUCGUAUAUCUGAUUUUAAUUUUGGUUGUUUGUGAUUUGUUGUUAGAUCUGUUACUAUCUGUUGAGAUCUUUGAUAUAUUUCCCUGAUGUUGUUUUUGAAGACCUGUUACUUGUUUUAUGAUAUUGGUUUAUGUUUCUCGUAGAUCCGAUUGUUUUGGAGAGAGAUUGGCUUUGGUUGAGCUUGUUUGGAUCUUUCUUAAUCUGAUUUUACUCAGGCCUCUAUUCAGUUGCUUCUUGUGAGGUGGUGAGAUUAGGCAAAUUGAUGUUGUGUUAUUGUUUUAAAUUGUCUGUUUAUGGCGUCUCAUGUGGUUAGAGGAUUUGGUUUUGAGAUUUCUCCCUUUUUUGUAGAGGUCUUUGCCUAGAUCACAAUUGGGAUGGAUGAGAAUUGGAUUUGAGUUGUUCUUAUAUCACUCUUUUUCUUGAUUUCAAGCAGGGAUAGAAUACUAAUGAGGAGUGCCUCAUUUGGUUAUGUUUAUAGCUCUGCAAGGAAUCGAUCCUGGUUAGGAAAGCCUUUGGAAUGGACUAUUGUGUAGUUUAAUGAGGAUUUGUAGUUCUAUGACUAGAAGCAAUGUUCGAUUUGUGGGUAUGCGAUUCUCUCGUCGUAUAAUUUGUAAAGUAAACCCUAGAUUUUUCUCAAAUCGCAACAAAGAAGAGAAUCAUAAGAAAUCUCUCCCAUUUUUUUCCAUCUGUUCUUCUCAAUUUCGUGAAAGUUAUCUGCAAUUUGUGAUCAAUGAUAGGGUUUUUAGUGAAUAUGUCCUCGGUCGAGGGCAUAGAAUGCGUGUUUUGUUUUUUCGAUUUUGAUGGUUUCUAUGUGUAUUUUCUCUGAUUUUUCUGUGGAUCGAGUAGAGAGUACUUUUGCUUGCAUUUUCUCUGUUUGUGAAUUCUUUCAGCAUUUGGAUGUAGAACGAGUGGUGUUUGAUUCUUUUCCUUCAUUUUUGUAUGCAUUUAGGGAGUUUUUGGUUUUGAUUAUUCCUUCUUGGUUAAUUUCUUUGAUUUUUCUUUCAAUCAGGCUGGGAUGGCUGUAUUUUUAGCUUGCUUUUAUGUAUGUUUGCUUAUUUUGUAAGAUUGACUGUAGAUUGAGUUAUUUUCGCUUUCAUUUUCUUCAUUUUUUUUUAAAGAAUUGGACAGGAAAUAUGAACAUUUCAGUUUUGAUUGCAUGUUUUGUUUGUUACCCAACUGAAUGUAGUUUUUCCUUAUCAAUUUUGUAAGAUCAACUAUAGAUAAGCAAUACAACCCAUGACAAAAAAAAAAAACAAACAAAAGAGUAGAAGCAAAGAAACCUCAGUAAGAGCUCCAGGCAAGCAACCCAACUUAGUAAAGGUCUCUAUUUCAUUAAAUCCUCUUUUUUUCUUCUUGUUUUCUUUUUUCUUUAGGGGCUAUUCAAAGACAUGUAAUAGUUGGGGCAGAAAUUUUUUUUCCUGUUGCAAGAACUUGUGCUCCCAUUUGGACACUUGAUUUGACUUGGCAAGUUUUUCUGUCCCUAAAAGUCCCUAUUUUUGGAUUAAGCUGAUAUUUUUGUUUUUACUCCAUCCAGGUCCAUGUGACCUUAUGAACAACUUUGGUUCGGUCUCAUUCUUUGCUCCAUACCUCAUCUAUUAAGCAAAAAGAUCCACUGAUAAGUAACCUUGUUUUUUCUUGUAUUUUUAUGGAAGUUCGAGACAGCAAGAUCUGGGCACAAUUUGUGGUUGAGGUGAAAACAGAAAACCCAAAAGGCUUCCAUUUAUGUAGAAGAUUAGUCCUUGUUUCUUUCAUAUUUUUCCCCUCAAAAUCUCAAUCACCUGUUCUUAAUUAUGUUGUAGGCAAACCGUGAGAUUACCAGGCUGGAUAUAUUUCUCUCUUGUUCAACUUCUACAAGAAACAACAAUGGGUAGCAUCAGUU